rnacentral:lncRNA from 1 species
GCUUUUCCUUAGAACCACUGCAGGGGUGAAAGACAGAACAUAGAAUUGUCACAUCGUUUCACAGAAGAGCCAUCUCCUAGUUAUCUUUUUGGUUACCUUUAAUAACCAAACAACCAAACCAAGAAUUUGGCAGAUAUUUUCACUAACUCUGAUUUCCUGGGGCCUGACUGGCUAAUGUAUGCAUUGACUCAUGAAAUAAAACAGAGCUUUUCAUCAGAAAGAAGAAGGGGCCAGGUGUGCUAGCUCAUUCCGGUAAUCCCAGCAUUUUGGGAGGCUAAGGCAGGAGGAUCACUUGAGACCAGGAGUUCAAGACCAGCCUGGGCAAAAUGGCAAGACCUCCUCUCUAAAAAGAUAUUUUUUAGAAAAUUAGCCAGAUAUGGGGGUUUAUGUUUGUAGUCUCAGCUACUCAGGAGGCUGAGGUGGGAGGAUCAUUUGAGCUCAGGAGUUUAAGGCUGCAGUGAACUAUGAUUACCCCCUCUGCACUCCAGCCUGGGUGACAAAGUGAGACCACAUUUCUAAGAAAAAAAGAAAAAAAGAAUUGAAGUUAAAAAUUUUAAAUCUUGAAGAAAGGAAAACACUAUAUUCUUCCUCCUGAUUUUUGACUCUUAACUAAAACUAAUCAUCAUCUCCCCACUUUUACUGUACGGAGGACUCUCCAAAUGGGUUAUAAUAUUGCCCUUUGCCCUAUCUUCCCUCUUUUCUACCCCUGUUACUUUCUGUGUCCAGCUUGGGACUGUCAAUUACAGAAAACAAGGGAAUACUGACACAUUAAAUCUUGAACACACCUCCCCCUUAGUAAAGCCCUUCUAUAAGAUGAAGUCUCACUCUCGCCCAGGCUGAAGUGCAGUAGCACCACCUUGGCUCACUGUAACCUCCACCCCCUGGAUUCAAGUGAUUCUUCUGCCUCAGUCUCCUGACUAGCUGGGACUACAAGCAUGUGCCGCCACACCUGGCUCAUUUUUGUAAUUUUAGUAGAGAUAGGGUUUCACUAUGUUGGCUAGGUUGGUCUUGAACUCCUGACCUCAAGUGAUCCACCUACUUUGGCCUCCCAAAGUGCUGG